rnacentral:lncRNA from 1 species
AUCCUGUUAGAUCAGUGUGUAGUAGUGAGACCCAGGUUUUACCUCUUGGCAACUCCUAUGCCUCUUUCUUAAAGGGCAACAAUUCCUCAAAAUGCCAUUAGUUUAAAGCUUGACUUAAGAGAUUUUUGUUUGUGGGAAUAACUACAUUCCUUGGCUCGGUGGAUUUUCCCCCUGUGGUGGAAGGAAAGGUAAAGGUGAUGCCAAAAUGAAAUAGCCUUCAGUUCCUGUUGACGUGAGAGUCACAGCAAUCCUGCCAUGUGGUUACUGACUACCUGGAGGAAAUGAGCCUGUGGCUGAUACAUAUGGAGGGCAACGAUUAGCAAAUGACCAGAGACACUAGUGUGGACUUGCUCUCUGGUGGUUUUGCAAUAUGUAUAUGCAAACUAGCUUCUUUGAGAGAUUCCUUUCCAGCUUUGUUUUCCCCAAAGUUCUACCAAAAAGGAAGGUUUUGUGUUUGUUUGUUUACUUUUUUUUUUUUCUUAACUGUGCUCUGUGUUCUGCCCCUGCUGUGCUGAAUUCUCCUGUAGUGUUUUUAGUAGCUCCUGUGGGGCUCGCAACACUCAGAUGGAGCCAGUCCAGACAGGCUGGGAGACCACACCUAGGACCUGGGACUCAGAGCUUCUGCUUCUGUUGACAUGCCUCUGUCCUGGUACUGCACUCCACACGAAACUGUGCCUCUGAUCCUGGGACAUAAUCACCCAGCCAGCCCUGCGUUGCAGCGAAGGAGCUUCAGGGAUGGCACAUGCCCUGUAGCCAGACACCUCAUAGACGACAAGUACAGCUGAUGCUUCUCACUCUUGCCUUAGCACCCCUGAGCCACCGUUGACAGUCACUGGCGAGUUGUGUAGCUGAGCCUGUAAACAGAGCUUAUGUGACAGGCAGUCCUUCAACGUCCUCAUCUCUACAUUUGCAUACACUCUACCUGGUAAUCUUUGCUUUGGGCGCAUGUAAAUUGUCAGGUGCUUCAUAAACACAAGUCAGCCUAGGUUGAGAAGAUUGGGCAAGUUCUUCUGGAUGAAUGUGUAACCUACCACAAGAUUCUAUGAGACAUGGGUAGACCUCUCUUGUAAUGUAGCACACUUAAAAGUUAAAACUCUUUGGGCCCAGUUGUGUGUACAGCUGUACGUGCAUUAUCUACUAGGAAAUUAAAGCUCGACCCGUUUAACUUUGUCCUCACGUUUGCUGAGACAUCUCUGCCCUCCUGCUCUUGAAGUCUUAAAGUCAUUUUCAUCUGCAGGGCCUCUGAGCACAGAGCUUGACUAUAGUGGUGAAUGUGUGGGGUGUUGAACUGUUAGCUUCCAAGAAGGGACCAGACAGUGUGGCUUAAGAUGCUGCAGUCGUGUUACUGUGAAGGAAAAUUCUUCCACUUUCAGCAGGGUGUGUGGGUGUGCGUGUGUGCUCGCAUGUGUGUUCAUUUUGGCUUUUUAAAAAUGUUGAAAAUCGAGGAGAACUUGAUUACCUUCACAGAUUAUUUAUAGAUACACUGGGCGUGAUGCUUACGUAGGCAAGCACCGGGGAACAGGAGUUCAGUGCUCCGGUCAUGUAAUACCUUGUCUAUGCCCCAGCCAGCACUCUGCUGGGCACUGUGUCCUAUAACUGUAAAUCGCCUGGUUUAUAAUGCUAACAGAAACUGGUUUGUUUUGUAAUGGAAUACAAAGAAGAUGUAUAAUAGGACCAGGAUUGUCCCGCACUUGUAAAUAAGAAUGGGCCCUGUUUAUUUUGACAUCUUUUUACAAAUGCAUUGUAUUAGGAUGUGAAUAUUCCAAAACAUGCUCUUGUUUAAAGUUUUGAAAUUUUUAUUGUUAAAUGUAACAUUUUAAUGGUUGUAAUAAUUAUUUGUAUAGACAUGAAUAUAGUAUUUUAUUUAAGAAAAUAAACUUUGCAGUUUUUGCAUUGUG